rnacentral:pre_miRNA from 1 species
UUCAACAUCAGCUGGGAGCUUGUUAGAAAUGCAGAAUCUCAAAACCUUGCUUCAGACUUAGAGAAUUAGAAUCUGCAUUUUAAUGAGAUCCCAGAUGAUUCAUAU